rnacentral:rRNA from 1 species
UACGUAGGGUGCGAGCGUUAAUCGGAAUUACUGGGCGUAAAGCGUGCGCAGGCGGUUCUCCAAGUCCGUUGUGAAAGCCCCGGGCUCAACCUGGGAAUGGCAGUGGAAACUAGGGGACUGGAAUCUGGCAGAGGGGGGUGGAAUGCCGCGUGUAGCAGUGAAGUGCGUAGAGAUGCGGCGGAACACCGAUGGCGAAGGCAGCCCCCUGGGCUGACACUGACGCUCAGGCACGAAAGCGUGGGGAGCAAACAGG